UACGGGGGGAGCAAGCGUUGUUCGGAUUUACUGGGCGUAAAGGGCGCGUAGGCGGUCGUGACAAGUCACUUGUGAAAUCUCCGGGCUUAACUCGGAACGGUCAAGUGAUACUGUCGGACUAGAGUACAGAAGGGGCAACUGGAAUUCUCGGUGUAGCGGUGAAAUGCGCAGAUAUCAGGAGGAACACCAAUGGCGAAGGCAGCUCACUGGGACGGUAUUGACGCUGAGACGCGAAAGCGUGGGGAGCAAACAGG
rnacentral:rRNA from 1 species